rnacentral:rRNA from 1 species
GACGAACCGUGCGAACGUUGUUCGGAAUCACUGGGCUUAAAGGGCGCGUAGGCGGCUUGCCAAGUCAGGGGUGAAAUCUUUCGGCUUAACCGGAAAAGUGCCUUUGAUACUGGCAGGCUAGAGCGAGGUAGGGGCAUGUGGAACUUCCGGUGGAGCGGUGAAAUGCGUUGAUAUCGGAAGGAACGCCGGUGGCGAAAGCGACGUGCUGGACCUUUUUCUGACGCUGAGGCGCGAAAGCCAGGGGAGCAAACGGG